rnacentral:rRNA from 1 species
UACGUAGGGUGCAAGCGUUGUCCGGAAUUAUUGGGCGUAAAGAGCUUGUAGGCGGUUUGUCGCGUCUGCUGUGAAAUUUCGGGGCUCAACCCCGAACUUGCAGUGGGUACGGGCAGACUAGAGUGUGGUAGGGGGAGACUGGAAUUCCUGGUGUAGCGGUGAAAUGCGCAGAUAUCAGGAGGAACACCGAUGGCGAAGGCAGGUCUCUGGGCCAUAACUGACGUGAGAAGCGAAAGCAUGGGGGAGCGAACAGG